UACGUAGGGUGCAAGCGUUAAUCGGAAUUACUGGGCGUAAAGCGUGCGCAGGCGGCUUUGCAAGACAGAUGUGAAAUCCCCGGGCUUAACCUGGGAACUGCAUUUGUGACUGCAUAGCUAGAGUACGGUAGAGGGGGGAUGGAAUUCCGCGUGUAGCAGUGAAAUGCGUAGAUAUGCGGAGGAACACCGAUGGCGAAGGCCAAUCCCCUGGGCCUGCACUGACGCUCAUGCACGAAAGCGUGGGGAGCAAACAGG
rnacentral:rRNA from 1 species